AGGCAGGAUUCUUCCCUUGCCCCACCUGCAGAUCCCACCUGACCCUUUCUGUGUGCAAACAACCUGCUUUGCCGCCAACUCACAGCCCGCCUUUGUUUCUGCCUUCACAGAACCUUUGGGACAUCGCUGUUGUUCAAAGGGACAAAUUGAUCCUGGACAUGCCUACCAGGGCUGCAUGCCAGCAGCAGAUAAGCUGCCAAGUGCCUGAAGACUGUGAUAGCUAAAGCCCACUCACAGACACGCAUGCUCCCGUUGCCUGCCCACUGCUGAAAUUGGGCUUAAAAAAGAAAAAAAAGUACCCUAACUACAGUGCGGGAGAUGUGAGUUUUGUUUUGGUUCAGGUUUUAUUUGAGGUUCUAUGACAUAUUGAAAAGGCUCUCUUUUUAAAGGCCAGAGCUGCAAGUUAUUCCUGGAAACAAUUCUGUGUAGCAAUGAAUGAGAAAGAACAAAAAAGAAGGCAACAAUGGCAAUUUGCAAAAACACAGGGUAGGUGGGUGGAUAAAUUCAGCCAUGUGUACAAUGGAAAUGAGAUUUUCAGACUAUAGACCAGCACUAUGAGAACUUAAUGAUUUAUU